UACGAGGGGGGCGAGCGUUGUUCGGAAUUAUUGGGCGUAAAGGGUGUGUAGGCGGUCUUCUAAGUUUGGUGUGAAAUCUCCCGGCUCAACUGGGAGGGUGCGCCGAAAACUGGGAGGCUAGAGUACUGGAUGGGAGAGUGGAAUUCCGGGUGUAGCGGUGGAAUGCGUAGAGAUCCGGAAGAACACCGGUGGCGAAGGCGGUCUGCUGGGCCGACACUGACACUGAGAGACGAAAGCUAGGGGAGCGAAUGGG
rnacentral:rRNA from 1 species